ACAACAACAAUAACAAGCAGCAAACAAGACAAUAAAAAUAAAACGUAACGACUCCAGUACAAUAAAAACAAUAGGACAGGAGGCGCAGAAAACUGAUUCUUUUGGGUAGAGGAUAUGCUUUUGGGGCUUGCCCCGCGACCAGGUAGAGAACAACAAAACUGCUCUUAGGCAGCACCUGAACUGGUUGGGUCACGGAAUGAUCAUCGCACUGUCAGCAUCCAAAGAAAUCCGUUUGCUAUUAACUCUCAACUUGAGAGGUUUUCCUGAGGUCUUUGACCAGAAGGAACGGGCAAUUCAACAAAAACAACAAGCCCGAAAUAAUAAUAAAAAUAAAGCACGCAACAAUUUAAGAGGGAGCUUCGGCUCCCUCAGUGCUUUCUGGGUUUCCAGAAUGAUUCACCUCUC
rnacentral:sRNA from 1 species